CUCUUGCCCCACUAAGCACAUCUUUGGCACUUAAAUAAUAGUCUGUUAAUCCCCUGUUCCAGUGGCCAUCAUAGGAGCUAGGCAGACAGAUGGGACAGCGUCACUCAGAAUUUGACAUUCCUGCAUGUUACCCCAGAAUUUAACUGUACAGCAGUCAGCAAUUUCGUAUGGUUUUCAGCUGGCUGUGGCUGAACAAACAUUGCAGACAGGAAAAAAAAAAAAAUCUUAGGCCCUGCGAGGCAAGGCCAAACAACAAAACUGCAAACAUGCACUUGUUAUCCUGUCCUCCCAUUCUGAUAAGUGAGUGUACUGUGCGAAUAGAAGGAAUGUUUAGAUGGCUGACCUUGGUCUUGAGCACUUCUGACAUGUAAGAUAUUAUUGUUUUAAUGAUAAGAGAUAAUGAGUAGUCAAAACAUUUCUAGUUUUGCUGAAAGUAGAAGAAUUGGUGACCUAUUAGGGGUUACUAUGGUGACUCACUAGGAGUCACUAUAGGUUAUGUGCUUUGUUUGAAGUUAACUAUAAAAGAUUAGGUCAAAGAAUUUGCUUUGGACCAGUCGGAGGAAGCUUUCUUGGGGCAAGGAUCUGACAGCUGAGUUCCCCAGCGGCUAGAUGGAAGGCCAAUCAAAGAUAAGAGGAAGGGACAUUCCUCAGAGACAGUCUUCUUGCAGCAGCAGAAAAGCUUUUGCAGAACCUUCAUACGUACCUGCGCACCACUGGAGUUGCUGACAGUGCCGAGAUAAAAAUGUAUGUUCAGGAGUGCAAGCAUGUUGCAAGAUCCUUAUGGAUCAAUUUAAUUUGCUUUCUUUUAUCAGAGAGAAACCUCUCCACAACAGACCUCUGCUUUGUUCUGGUUUACAGGGGUGGUUGUUGGUGGUGGCUCCUUGACGUCUCACAGCAAGAAGUAGUGAGGUGAGCAAGUGUUUUUAAGUUACAACAAAAAAUCAAAUACAAAAAUGAAUGACUCAAUCAGUCAAUCAAGAUCAUCAUGGUAAAGGACUAGCCAAAUCCAAAGAGAAGUGGUAUCCAGGGACUACAAAGCGGAUCUCGAGCACCUAGGACCUCAGCUCACGUCUGUUGAUGCUCUUUUAGACUUACAGCUGGGUCUUAUGAAAGCCGUGACUUUAUACCUAUCUUUUGUUACUGGAAAUUUAUAAAUCAAAUUAAUAAAGUUUUAAAAUAAAGUCUCCCUUUCUUUAUACUUA